rnacentral:piRNA from 1 species
UGUCUUCUGCAUAGGGCUGAGAUGGAGUGU